rnacentral:lncRNA from 1 species
CCGCCAGCGCCAGCCGGGGCCGGGCUUCCUCCGGGGCCGCCUACCAAACCGGGCGGGAGCGGGGAGCGGGGAGCGGGGCCCGGCGCCCAGGGCGGGGGGUGGCUGGUCCCCGCCCAGCCGGGAGGGUGAGAUGUGCUGGCCGGAGACGGUGACCCAGGAAGGCCGGGGAAGGAUUGCUGGAGGGGGUGGGACCCUACCUGGGCCUUGAGGCAGCGGGUUCCCCGGCCCCGACUGAGCUCCAUCCAGGAGGGCGGGGGGCGGGGGGUUGGUUGUUGGGCUUAUUGCUGUAUCUUCAAUGUACACCUGGCGCGUUGGCACCAGCAAAUGCGGGGUGGAUGAAUGACCAAGAGUGGGAGGUGAUAAGAUGGCACCAUCAUUCCUUAUCAAAUGUGAACCUCAUUUGUAUUUAAAGGACGAUCCCUCAAGUUUCUUCAUUGAAUUUUUUGGAGGCUCUAUCAGAGGAAUGAAUCGAGGCCCAGGAGUCGUGUGCAGAUACACACCUUCUGAUUAGGGGCGCACGCAUGCUCCGAGACAGGAAGAGCCUCCACUCGGGUAUGAGGUUUCUGGUAACGUGGACUUGAGCAGGAUCCCGCAACAACAGGGUUUGAUCAAUAAGAGCCAAGGGCCUUCUAGAUCGACUUCCCUGCCGGGCAAGUCUAGAUCUUGCUAUACCAGUGAUUCUCCAAGUGCGGUCCCUGGACCAGCAGCAUCUACAUCGCCUGGGAACUUGUUAAAAUGGAAAAUCCUUGGGCCUCAUCUCAGACAUACUAAAUCAGCAAUUUGUAUUUUAACAAGGCCUCCAGGUAAUUCUAAUGCAUAAUAAAUUUAGAGAAUCACUCGUCUAUAACAUGCACCCUUUUAAAGCCAGGCCUUGAUUCAAUGAUUAAUGCUAACUAUGGGUGAUCAGAAGUAAUCAAUUCUCCCUCCAAAUAUCUGUGUGAUAUUGAAUUAUAUCUAUAGAUCCUUUAUUCCUAGGGACCUCAGGGUAAAGG